CACGUAGGGGGCAAGCGUUGUCCGGAUUUAUUGGGCGUAAAGAGCUCGUAGGUGGUUCGGUAAGUCGGGUGUGAAACCUCCAGGCUCAACCUGGAGACGCCACCCGAUACUGCUGUGACUGGAGUCCGGUAGGGGAGCGUGGAAUUCCUGGUGUAGCGGUGAAAUGCGCAGAUAUCAGGAGGAACACCAGCGACGAAGGCGGCGCUCUGGGCCGGUACUGACACUGAGGAGCGAAAGCGUGGGUAGCAAACAGG
rnacentral:rRNA from 1 species